GGAAGAUAUUCCAAUAAUUAUGCUUACUAAUUAAGAAAGAACAUUAUGUACAUAAUUAUAGGAUUUACUUUUUAUAACAGAGGAUGCUAACAUGGUGGCUGAUGUGGAAAAAAAUUAUUUUUUAAUAUAUUAUUACUGACGUGGCAUAAACUUUUAUGUUCUUGUUGAAGUAGUGGCUGACAUAGCAAAAUAUUAUUAUUUUAUAUGUUGACAGGGCAUAACUUUAAUAAUUAAAAAAUUUAAAACUUUUCGACUUUUGUCAAUUAUAGUCAAUUCUAUAAAUUUGUUUCAUUUAUAGCCAGUUGACUAAUUUUUAUAUAUUUGGGUCAAUUAAUACUUUAUUGCUUAAUACAAUUAUCAAAAAUAAAUAUUUAUAUUAUUUAG
rnacentral:misc_RNA from 1 species